AACGAACGCUGGCGGCAUGCCUAACACAUGCAAGUCGAAUGAUAUCUUCGGGUCUAGUGGCGCACGGGUGCGUAACGCGUGGGAAUCUGCCCUUUGGUUCGGAAUAACAGUUGGAAACGACUGCUAAUACCGGAUGAUGACGAAAGUCCAAAGAUUUAUCGCCAGAGGAUGAGCCCGCGUAGGAUUAGCUAGUUGGUGUGGUAAAGGCGCACCAAGGCGACGAUCCUUAGCUGGUCUGAGAGGAUGAUCAGCCACACUGGGACUGAGACACGGCCCAGACUCCUACGGGAGGCAGCAGUGGGGAAUAUUGGACAACGGGCGAAAGCCUGAUCCAGCAAUGCCGCGUGAGUGAUGAAGGCCUUAGGGUUGUAAAGCUCUUUUACCCGGGAUGUUAAUGACAGUACCGGUAGAAUAAGCGCCGGCUAACUCCGUGCCAGCCGCCGCAGUAA
rnacentral:rRNA from 1 species